UUACCCCUGCGAUGUGCGUGAUUGUCAUUUGUUUUUGAGCCAACACUUUGAACCUGGGGCCUAUACUUGUUUGCGGUGUGCAUGUCCGCCUUUUUCCGCUGGUCGGGUGGCAGAAAGCCUGAAACAAACAACACCGGGAACCCACUUUUUUAAAAGGUUCAAAAUCGUGAUCAACACGGCAUAGGCGGGGGUUUU
rnacentral:other from 1 species